rnacentral:lncRNA from 1 species
GACAAAAGUGGGGGCAGCGGGGCGCGCUGUGGGAUUCGCUAGCGGCGCCCUCUAGUGGCGUUUCGCGGAGCCUUGGCGGAAACCCUACUGGGAGCCGGUGUGUCCCCCAGUAACAUUUGCAAAUGAAAGAAGGUAAUUCCCUCUGCAGCCCCCCGACAAGUGACCUUGCUCUUUUCUCCUUGGCCAGUGGGAAGCAAACUCAGGAGCUCUGGCCUUAGGAGAUGGGAGGAAGACUAAAGCAGCAGUUCUCAAAGUGUGAUCCGGGAGACCCUGCAGAUCCCAAGAUCCUUUCUAGAGUUUCGGUGGGAGAACUAGUUUUAGAAUUAUAGACGUCAUUUGCCUUUUAAACUCACAAUGGAAUUUUCCAGAGGCGACCUGAUGUCUAAUGAUGACACUGCUCUUAUGACCAAAGGAAUGUGAGCUCGUAUAUUCUUUUAGAAUUUCCUAAGGCACUCAUGAAAGGUGGCCGGGUACCACUGUAUCAAUGGCCCAGUUGCCCAUCUCCUGGCGAGAGAUUUCCCUAAGUGACCUGGAAGUGUCACUAUUACCACCGCCCCACAUGAAUCUUGUGCUGGAGGCGACUAGAGCUGUGUGUCCCUCAGCAGAAGCAGGUGGCAUAAGCAAGAGUUCCAUUUUGGUUUCAUUUUCAGAGGACCCCAAUUGCGCAGUCUGCAAGAAAUAAUGUGCCUCUCAGGAUGGUUCCAAGCUGAGCCCAAAUCACUGAGGGAGAUUCACUGCUUGCUAACAUGAACUUUAUUCCUGGAUAAACAAGUCCCAAACCGUCUUGUCCAUAUGCCACCACGGUCAGGUCAAAACACACAUUAUCAGCUGGGUGCGGUGGCUCACGCUUGUAAUCCCAGCACUUCGGGAGGCCGAGGUGGGCGGAUCACUUGAGGUCAGGAGUUGGAGAUCAGCCUGGCCAACAUGGUGAAACCCCGUCUCUACUAAAAAUACAAAAAUUAGCCGGGCGUGGUGGUACGUGUCUGUAGUCCCAGGUACUCAGAAGGCUGAAGACAUGAGAAUCGCUUGAACCCAGGGGGCGGAGGUUGCUGAGCUGAGAUCAUGCCACUGCACUCGAGCCUGGACAACAGAGUGAGAUCCUAUGCCAAAAACAAACAAUAAAAACCAACAACAAAAAAGUGCUUUAACAAGUGCGACUCUGUGAGAGACACUCUGCUAGAUGCUGGGGCCAUAAGAGUGAAAAUAAUAGUCUCUGCCCCAGAGGGGCUCAGGUCUGGCUCCUUGAUACAUUUCACAGAUGAGGAAACUGAGGCACUGAACUUUCUGGUUUCUUUCUCUGGGCUGGUUAUGCUGUACUCCCUUCACUGAGUAUUUUCCUCCCUUCAUGAAUUUUCAAGAGUUUCACUCUUGUUGCCCAGGCUGGAGUGCAAUGGCGUGAUCUCGGCUCACUGCAACCUCCAACUC